GGUGCAAAAUAAGGGGUGGGCAAGCCUGGUGUCAGCCGCCGCGGUAAUACCAGCACCCCGAGUGGUCGGGACGAUUAUUGGGCCUAAAGCAUCCGUAGCCGGUUCUACAAGUCUUCCGUUAAAUCCAUCUGCUUAACAGAUGGGCUGCGGAGGAUACUAUGGAGCUAGGAGGCGGGAGAGGCAAGCGGUACUUAGUGGGUAGGGGUAAAAUCCGUUGAUCCACUGAAGACCACCAGUGGCGAAGGCGGCUUGCCAGAACGCGCUCGACGGUGAGGGAUGAAAGCUGGGGGAGCAAACCGGAUUAGAUACCCGGGUAGUCCCAGCUGUAAACGAUGCAGACUCGGUGAUGAAUAGGCUUCGUGCCUUUUCAGUGCCGCAGGGAAGCCGUUAAGUCUGCCGCCUGGGGAGUACGGUCGCAAGACUGAAACUUAAAGGAAUUGGC
rnacentral:rRNA from 1 species